GACGAACGCUGGCGGCGUGCUUAACACAUGCAAGUCGAACGGGAAGGCCCUGCUUUUGUGGGGUGCUCGAGUGGCGAACGGGUGAGUAACACGUGAGUAACCUGCCCUUGACUUUGGGAUAACUUAAGGAAACUGGGGCUAAUACCGGAUAGGAGCUCCUGCUGCAUGGUGGGGGGUGGAAAGUUUCGGCGGUUGGGGAUGGACUCGCGGCUUAUCAGCUUGUUGGUGGGGUAGUGGCUUACCAAGGCUUUGACGGGUAGCCGGCCUGAGAGGGUGACCGGCCACAUUGGGACUGAGAUACGGCCCAGACUCCUACGGGAGGCAGCAGUGGGGAAUAUUGCACAAUGGGCGGAAGCCUGAUGCAGCAACGCCGCGUGCGGGAUGACGGCCUUCGGGUUGUAAACCGCUUUCGCCUGUGACGAAGCGUGAGUGACGGUAAUGGGUAAAGAAGCACCGGCUAACUACGUG
rnacentral:rRNA from 1 species